rfam:Glarea lozoyensis 74030 unplaced genomic scaffold M7I_scaffold1, whole genome shotgun sequence.
UCUUUGAUGGUCUAGUGGUCAUGAUUUCCGCUUGUCAAUUCUUCAUUGAAAAGCGCGGGAGACCGGGGUUCGAUUCCCCGUCAGAGAG